GAUGAACGCUAGCGGCAGGCCUAAUACAUGCAAGUCGAACGGUGUCUUCGGACAUAGUGGCGCACGGGUGCGUAACACGUAUGCAACCUACCUUACAUUGGGGGAUAGCCUUUCGAAAGGGAGAUUAAUACCGCAUAAGACAGUAGCUGGGCAUCCAGCAGCUGAUAAAGAUUUAUCGAUGUAAGCUGGGCAUGCGUCCAAUUAGCUAGUUGGUGAGGUAACGGCUCACCAAGGCAAUGAUUGGUAGGGGAACUGAGAGGUCAAUCCCCCACACUGGCACUGAGAUACGGGCCAGACUCCUACGGGAGGCAGCAGUAGGGAAUAUUGGGCAAUGGACGCAAGUCUGACCCAGCCAUGCCGCGUGCAGGAUGAAGGCGUUAUGCGUUGUAAACUGCUUUUAUACAGGAAGAAACGACUCUUGCGAGAGGCAUUGACGGUGCUGUAUGAAUAAGCACCGGCUAACUCCGUGCCAGCCGCCGCCGUAACAC
rnacentral:rRNA from 1 species